rnacentral:pre_miRNA from 1 species
CACCUCCAAUAGUUGAAGCUGCCAGCAUGAUCUAAACUCUUCUUAUACAGGAAAGACUAGAUCAUGUGGUAGCUUCACCUGUUUGAUGG